GAUGAAGAACGUAGCGAAAUGCGAUAAGUAAUGUGAAUUGCAGAAUUCAGUGAAUCAUCGAAUCUUUGAACGCACAUUGUGCCCGCCAGUAUUCUGGCGGGCAUGCCUGUUCGAGCGUCAUUUCAACCAUCAAGCCCCAGGCUUGUGUUGGGGACCUGCGGCUGCCGCAGGCCCUGAAAACCAGUGGCGGGCUCGCUGUCACACCGGGCGUAGUAGAUUUUAUCUCGCUCUGGGCGUGCUGCGGGUUCCGGCCGUUAAAAAACCCUUUUAACCCAAGGUUGACCUCGGAUCAGGUAGGAAUACCCGCUGAACUUAAGCAUAUCAAUAAGCGGAGGA
rnacentral:misc_RNA from 1 species